CGAACGGCAGCACGGGGGCAACCCUGGUGGCGAGUGGCGAACGGGUGAGUAAUACAUCGGAACGUGUCCUGUAGUGGGGGAUAGCCCGGCGAAAGCCGGAUUAAUACCGCAUACGCUCUACGGAGGAAAGGGGGGGAUCUUAGGACCUCCCGCUACAGGGGCGGCCGAUGGCAGAUUAGCUAGUUGGUGGGGUAAAGGCCUACCAAGGCGACGAUCUGUAGCUGGUCUGAGAGGACGACCAGCCACACUGGGACUGAGACACGGCCCAGACUCCUACGGGAGGCAGCAGUGGGGAAUUUUGGACAAUGGGCGAAAGCCUGAUCCAGCAAUGCCGCGUGUGUGAAGAAGGCCUUCGGGUUGUAAAGCACUUUUGUCCGGAAAGAAAACGCCGUGGUUAAUACCCGUGGCGGAUGACGGUACCGGAAGAAUAAGCACCGGCUAACUACGUGCCAGCAGCCGCGGUAAUACGUAGGGUGCAAGCGUUAAUCGGAAUUACUGGGCGUAAAGCGUGCGCAGGCGGUCCGCUAAGACAGAUGUGAA
rnacentral:rRNA from 8 species